GAAGGAGGGCGGGAGGGAGGGAGAGUACCCGGCUGCCUUCAGCCUUCAGUUUGGUGUUCGGUGUUGCUAGGCGCGAGGGCCACUGUCAGUAGUGUCAGUGCCAAGGCGGCAACCGGCAAACGGCAACCGGCAACCGGCAACCGGCAACCGGCAACCUUCUCUCGAUCGCGAAAAUUCAGCCAAGUUCUCGCCAUCCGAAUCUGCCGAAUGUCGCCCAUUCUUUCUUCCUAUCCUCCAUUAUCUCUAUCUAUCUCCGAUGGAUUUUCGAAAAAACGAGCACCGCCUGUGCUUGUCGAAUCCGCCGUUCGUUCGUUCGUUCGGCUACGUCCGCGACGUCCGCGUGCGAAAGGGAACUGACGGCUGAGAACGCAGAGACACGCGAAAAUCACGGGAUCUCCCUCGGGUUGAUGACGAUUAUUGAAUCGAUCUGAUGAUUGGAAAUAACAUUAAUACAAAUUCGAAAGAUAUGGAGAAGUAUAAACAGUGAAGGUGGGUACAUUCUUUUCUCCUCUCUCGAUAAGGAGUGGCAUGAGUUGGUUGGGGAGGGUGGGCCGCCCUUUUUCGAGGAGAGAGGAGGCAUCUCGUUGGAAAAUUUACGCCGACGACGCGCGACGGAUGGACCGUAAAGGUCGCCGUUGCUGGUUGUCUCCUCUCUUCGGCGCCGUCGCCACCGGUUUGCCCUCCUUCGUAAAGGUUGCCAGCUGAGAGCAACGUCAGCAAUGAGAGCAGAUCGUAGUGUUGUCGCAGUUUGCCCUGGGGUUAGUUAUGUGUUCUUCUAUAACCGCGAAACGUGGAUUCUUUGAAAGGGAGAAAGUUUUCAAUGGCAGAGUAUUUAUAGCAGUGAAAUUUUUUAAUAGAAAUUGUGAAGGAGAUAUGAGAUAAAGAGGACGAAAUCAGCUGGAGAAUGCGUGGGUAGAAGAAAGAAGAUGCGAACACAUGUCGUCAAUGUUCUUCCUAAUUCUGUUCUUUUAAUGCGAGACUUCAGAUCAGAUUUAUUUUAGAUCGACUAGCGAUGAAGGAUGGAUUAAUCGGCGAAUUACUCGCGUGAGUAAUUACUGAAAUAUUUUCUCGCAGUGAAACGUGAUAAUUCCUGAAAAUUUAUAAUUUGUAUUUUUAGAUUGUUUAGUUUUUCAAUAAAGAUUUCAAUAAAGAAAUUUUUCUUUGAACAACUCGAA